CUUAUGAGGACGUGCAUGUGAACUUCACUCAAGAGGAGUGGGCUCUGCUGGAUCCUUCCCAGAAGAAGCUCUACAAAGAUGUCAUGCUGGAGACCUACAGGAACCUCAGUGCUAUAGGAUUUAAUUGGGACGACAAACAUAUUCAAGAACAUUGUCCAAGUUCUAGAAGACACAGAAGGUAUCCUUGAAGAUGAAAACCAA
rnacentral:lncRNA from 1 species